rnacentral:misc_RNA from 1 species
GAGUCCAUAACAAUACAGACCUCUGCAUUAGAUACCCAAAUUUAAAUAAAAAUAAAAAAGGCUUUAAUGGACAAAAUGUCAGGGCCAUGCUACCUUAAUUCCCCUUUCAAAUGAAAAGGGGAUCUACCAUCAAUUUACAGCAUUCUUAUUUGAACAAAAAUUAGGUGCAUCAAAAUCUGACCUCAAAGUCACUGGAAAGUUCUU